rnacentral:rRNA from 1 species
UGCGCAGGCGGCUUGUCAAGUCGUGUGUGAAAUACCCGGGCUUAACCCGGGGGGUGCAUACGAAACUGGCGAGCUUGAGUGCAGGAGAGGGGGAGCGGAAUUCCUAGUGUAGCGGUGAAAUGCGUAGAUAUUAGGAGGAACACCAGUGGCGAAGGCGGCUCUCUGGACUGCAACUGACGCUGAGGCACGAAAGCGUGGGGAGCAAACAGGAUUAGAUACCCUGGUAGUCCACGCUGUAAACGAUGGAUACUAGGUGUAGGGGGUGUAUGCCCUCUGUGCCGGAGCUAACGCAAUAAGUAUCCCGCCUGGGGAGUACGGCCGCAAGGUUGAA